rnacentral:rRNA from 1 species
AUUUGGCGGACGGGUGAGUAAUGCCUAGGAAUCUGCCUGGUAGUGGGGGAUAACGUUCCGAAAGGAACGCUAAUACCGCGUACGUCCUACGGGAGAAAGCAGGGGACCUUCGGGCCUUGCGCUAUCAGAUGAGCCUAGGUCGGAUUAGCUAGUUGGUGAGGUAAUGGCUCACCAAGGCGACGAUCCGUAACUGGUCUGAGAGGAUGAUCAGUCACACUGGAACUGAGACACGGUCCAGACUCCUACGGGAGGCAGCAGUGGGGAAUAUUGGACAAUGGGCGGAAGCCUGAUCCAGCCAUGCCGCGUGUGUGAAGAAGGUCUUCGGAUUGUAAAGCACUUUAAGUUGGGAGGAAGGGCAGUAAGUUAAUACCUUGCUGUUUUGACGUUACCGACAGAAUAAGCACCGGCUAACUUCGUGCCAGCAGCCGCGGUAAUA